rnacentral:rRNA from 1 species
UACGUAGGGUGCAAGCGUUGUCCGGAAUUAUUGGGCGUAAAGAGCUCGUAGACGGUCUGUCGCGUCUGCUGUGAAAACUCAGGGCUUAACCCUGAGCUUGCAGUGGGUACGGGCAGACUAGAGUGCGGUAGGGGAGACUGGAAUUCCUGGUGUAGCGGUGAAAUGCGCAGAUAUCAGGAGGAACACCGGUGGCGAAGGCGGGUCUCUGGGCCGUAACUGACGCUGAGGAGCGAAAGCGUGGGGAGCGAACAGG